CUCUUACCUCUUCAGUCCAUGCUAUCAACUGAGAUUUGUGAAAACUUCUGGCUACUAACAGUGUCAGUAUAUGCAGCUCACUGUCCCCAAGAGCACAGGUCACCACUACGCAACCAAGUCCAUGAUGGCAUCUGAGCGAGGAGAAUGCAGCUUUCACGGUAUGCAAGGGAAAGCAGACACCCUCUAAUUGAAUGAUACUGUUUACACAAGCAAUAGAGUAUUACAUCACUUUCCCUACAAAGAGAAGAGAAUGUAAAAUUUCAGAAAAGACAGAUAGCAAUUUCAUGUGUUGCUUGUCACCACAGUCCUCUCCAGCAUAAUAAAACACACAUGGAAAAAUC